GUGAUCAGAAACAGAAGAGUCUUUAGGGGGUGACACGAAACCUUUAACAUGAGUGACCGGUGGAAAUGCUGAUUAUUGGCCCCUUCCAGAUGCCAGAGGAGAGAGACUGUCAGGGCAUGUGAAGACAGCUUCUGUGAGUCCCAACUUUUCUCCACCAGCUGAGUGCCAUUCAGACAUGUAGACCAGACAGUGUGUGAAAGGAGGAAGAAGAAGACUUGUCCCAGAGGGAGAACAGCAAGACAGUGUGGCAAAUGCAGGAGAAAUCAACACUGACAGGAAACAGCUUGAGUCGGGGGCUUUCCUGCCGUCUCUGAAGACCAAAGACUCCUCUGUGGAGAGCCAUCCAGAACAUGUGGCAGCAUUGAAGGGCUAAGGGAAGAUUGACGUGUGUACUCUGUAUUGGUUUUUUAUGGAUUCCAGGGUGUGCAAUCAGCCAUAUUCUUUAGUUCCUAGGCUCUUUUGCUGAAUUCUUAAUUAAAUUUGUAACAUACAUUAACAGCAAUGGAAUAGUGACCUGACUGGGAUAAUUAUUCUACACUGGUUCAUGUUGCCAAGGUAGGUGGCACAAUCCAUUUUCCUGCCACCUCAAAGAUGGGAAGUGCGAUAUUCUGUGUGCUCUUGUGCCUGCUUAUUAAUCCAGAUGGACACAAAAUAAAACAAGUUGUGGGUGAGGUGGUAAACCACAUCUCAGCUUCCCAUCCACAGUGAUUCAUUGAGAGCCUUCUUCCCAAUGCUUUGGUCUGAUAGGCAAACGAAUCACAUUUUAGUCUCAUGAAGAUUCUCAUUCAUCAGUAAAUGUUUAUUAAUGUUUUGCCAAAUGUUCCUACCUAUCUUUGUUAUUUUUUGUCACAAUUUAAACAGAACAAUAUAUAAUAACAUUAAGUUUCUCUACUUCAUCCAAUUUCUGUGAAAAAUUCACAAAAUAUUAAACAAAUGAAACCAAGCAUUAAAACUUCUAUGAGAUUCCACAUGGUAUUUAUUUGGAUUUGGGUAUGAUCUUUUGUAGGACUCUGCCUAUUCUGGAGGAACCCAUCAUUUCCUCUUUCUAUGCAUGCAAUCCACAAUUUCAAAGUCUUUUGCCUAUGAAUUGAGAGAGUUAGAUGAGGACAUGGAAGACUCUAGUUCUUGGUUUUCUGGCUCUUUUGUAGCUUCCAUCUCUGAUAUUUUUACUCCCAAGAAAGGUAAUGACUCACUAAGACUCAUCAAACGAUCAGAGGGGAAAGAUUGCAAUUUCUCCUGUCUCAAAGCCAGGAAGAAAGUCAACAGCUAUUGCGUGCCCACCAAGCAUUGUGCUCACCCUGGAGACACAGAGGCAAAUAAUCAGGAUGGCACAGAAUCGAUUGCUGUUUAUAGGGGGUUAUCUGGAUGAUGGCAAGGAAGACAGUUUGAGGGCAGAAGAUUUGCCCAUAAUUGAUAUGUUCGGUUAGAUUUAAAAACAAUGUGUUUUCAGCAUCCCAAAUCUAGAGUUAAGGGACCAGGCAGCUCCUGCUUUAUUAAGA